AUGGUUCCGCCGGUAGACACCCUCACCGCGGUCAAACCCUCAAUCACGCUUGAGAGUCCGAUUUCACGUCCCAGAGUCCAGUUCUCUCGUCAUCAUCACGGAUUUUCAUCGCCUGAGCACCUAGGGCUUCUGAAACCCCCUUCAAGAUCUAGGCGAGAUCUUCCAUUUUCUACGAAAUCAAAGCGCGGAUUAGUAACCAGAAGAAGAAGAAGACGAUUCAGAAAAAUGUAA